rnacentral:rRNA from 1 species
GAGAGUUUGAUCCUGGCUCAGGACGAACGCUGGCGGCGUGCCUAAUACAUGCAAGUAGAACGCUGAAGAGAGGAGCUUGCUCUUCUUGGAUGAGUUGCGAACGGGUGAGUAACGCGUAGGUAACCUGCCUUGUAGCGGGGGAUAACUAUUGGAAACGAUAGCUAAUACCGCAUAACAAUGGAUGACACAUGUCAUUUAUUUGAAAGGGGCAAUUGCUCCACUACAAGAUGGACCUGCGUUGUAUUAGCUAGUAGGUGAGGUAACGGCUCACCUAGGCGACGAUACAUAGCCGACCUGAGAGGGUGAUCGGCCACACUGGGACUGAGACACGGCCCAGACUCCUACGGGAGGCAGCAGUAGGGAAUCUUCGGCAAUGGGGGCAACCCUGACCGAGCAACGCCGCGUGAGUGAAGAAGGUUUUCGGAUCGUAAAGCUCUGUUGUAAGUCAAGAACGAGUGUGAGAGUGGAAAGUUCACACUGUGACGGUAGCUUACCAGAAAGGGACGGCUAACUACGUGCCAGCAGCCGCGGUAAUACGUAGGUCCCGAGCGUUGUCCGGAUUUAUUGGGCGUAAAGCGAGCGCAGGCGGUUUGAUAAGUCUGAAGUUAAAGGCUGUGGCUCAACCAUAGUUCGCUUUGGAAACUGUCAAACUUGAGUGCAGAAGGGGAGAGUGGAAUUCCAUGUGUAGCGGUGAAAUGCGUAGAUAUAUGGAGGAACACCGGUGGCGAAAGCGGCUCUCUGGUCUGUAACUGACGCUGAGGCUCGAAAGCGUGGGGAGCGAACAGGAUUAGAUACCCUGGUAGUCCACGCCGUAAACGAUGAGUGCUAGGUGUUGGAUCCUUUCCGGGAUUCAGUGCCGCAGCUAACGCAUUAAGCACUCCGCCUGGGGAGUACACCGCAAGGUUGAAACUCAAAGGAAUUGACGGGGGCCCGCACAAGCGGUGGAGCAUGUGGUUUAAUUCGAAGCAACGCGAAGAACCUUACCAGGUCUUGACAUCCCGAUGCUAUUUCUAGAGAUAGAAAGUUACUUCGGUACAUCGGUGACAGGUGGUGCAUGGUUGUCGUCAGCUCGUGUCGUGAGAUGUUGGGUUAAGUCCCGCAACGAGCGCAACCCCUAUUGUUAGUUGCCAUCAUUCAGUUGGGCACUCUAGCGAGACUGCCGGUAAUAAACCGGAGGAAGGUGGGGAUGACGUCAAAUCAUCAUGCCCCUUAUGACCUGGGCUACACACGUGCUACAAUGGUUGGUACAACGAGUUGCGAGUCGGUGACGGCAAGCUAAUCUCUUAAAGCCAAUCUCAGUUCGGAUUGUAGGCUGCAACUCGCCUACAUGAAGUCGGAAUCGCUAGUAAUCGCGGAUCAGCACGCCGCGGUGAAUACGUUCCCGGGCCUUGUACACACCGCCCGUCACACCACGAGAGUUUGUAACACCCGAAGUCGGUGAGGUAACCUUUUGGAGCCAGCCGCCUAAGGUGGGAUAGAUGAUUGGGGUNAAGUCGUAACAAGGUAGCCGUA